GUCGCCUUUCGGGUGCGAUUCUGUGGAGUUUGAGGAGCUUAACACCUUCAUGCUUUUCGUAUUCGUGCUCUUGGGUGUACUUGCCCGUGUGGUUGGUUAACAUCAAUUUUGGUGAUCAUAAAAUGACUGGAGGAAUGUAGCUUCGAUCUCGUAUUGAAGUGUUAUAGCCUUCGGUAGAUGUGAUGAUCGAGAUUGAGGAUUGCAACGGAUACCCUUCGGGGCUACCUGUCUGAUCUCUGAUCGUUGCUUUGGUGCCGAAAGCUUGCUUAUAGUUAUCAAAGUCGAUGGU
rnacentral:rRNA from 1 species